AUUGAACGCUGGCGGCAGGCUUAACACAUGCAAGUCGAGCGAGUGGCGGACGGGUGAGUAAUGUCUGGGAAACUGCCUGAUGGAGGGGGUUAACUACUGGAAACGGUAGCUAAUACUGCAUACAAUCAGAUGUUCGCAGAUGGGAUUAGCUAGUAGGUGGGGUAAUGGCUCACCUAGGCGACGAUCCCUAGCUGGUCUGAGAGGAUGACCAGCUAAACUGGAACUGGGAAACGGUCCAGACUCCUACGGGGGGCAGCAGUGGGGAAUAUUGCACAAUGGGCGCAAGCCUGAUGCAGCCAUGCCGCGUGUGUGAAGAAGGCCUUCGGGUUGUAAAGCACUUUCAGCAAGGAGGCGUUACUCGCAAGAGAGGCACCGGCUAACUCCGUGCCAGCAGCCGCGGUAAUAC
rnacentral:rRNA from 1 species